UAAGGAAUAUUGGACAAUGGGCGCAAGCCUGAUCCAGCCAUCCUGCGUGCAGGAAGACGGCCCUACGGGUUGUAAACUGCUUUUGUAAGGGAAGAAAGGUUGUCAUUGAUGAUGAUUUGACGGUACCUUAAGAAUAAGCACCGGCUAACUCCGUGCCAGCAGCCGCGGUAAUACGGAGGGUGCAAGCGUUAUCCGGAAUCACUGGGUUUAAAGGGUGCGUAGGCGGAAUAAUAAGUCAGGCGUGAAAGGUCACGGCUUAACUGUGGAAUUGCGUUUGAUACUGUUAUUCUUGAAUUAAGAUGAGGUCAGCGGAAUGCGACAUGUAGCGGUGAAAUGCAUAGAUAUGUCGUAGAACACCGAUUGCGAAGGCAGCUGACUGGACUUUGAUUGACGCUGAGGCACGAAAGCGUGGGGAGCGAACA
rnacentral:rRNA from 1 species